rnacentral:rRNA from 1 species
CGGGCUUUGCCCUUGUAGCGGCGAGUGAGCGGCAAAGCUCAAUUUGAAAUCUGGCACUUUCAGUGUCCGAGUUGUAAUUUGAAGAAGGUAUCUUUGGGUCUGGCUCUUGUCUAUGUUUCUUGGAACAGAACGUCACAGAGGGUGAGAAUCCCGUGCGAUGAGAUGUCCCAGACCUAUGUAAAGUUCCUUCGAAGAGUCGAGUUGUUUGGGAAUGCAGCUCUAAGUGGGUGGUAAAUUCCAUCUAAAGCUAAAUAUUGGCGAGAGACCGAUAGCGAACAAGUACAGUGAUGGAAAGAUGAAAAGAACUUUGAAAAGAGAGUGAAAAAGUACGUGAAAUUGUUGAAAGGGAAGGGCUUGAGAUCAGACUUGGUAUUUUGUAUGUUACUCUCUCGGGGGUGGCCUCUACAGUUUACCGGGCCAGCAUCAGUUUGGGCGGUAGGACAAUUGCAAAGAAAUGUGGCACUGCCUCGGUAGUGUGUUAUAGUCUUUGUCGAUACUGCCAGCCUAGACUGAGGACUGCGGCUUCGGCCUAGGAUGUUGGCAUAAUGAUCUUAAGUCGCCCGUCUUGAAAAAAACGGACCCAAAA